AGCAGCAAUGCUUGAGAGUGGCGAACGGGUGAGCAAUAUAUCGGAACGUGCCCAGUCGUGGGGGAUAACGUAGAGAAAUUUACGCUAAUACCGCAUACGAUCUAAGGAUGAAAGCGGGGGAUUUCGCAAGAAGCCUCGCGCGAUUGGAGCGGCUGAUAUCAGAUUAGGUUGUUGGUGAGGUAAAAGCUCACCAAGCCGACGAUCUGUAGCUGGUUUGAGAGAACGACCAGCCACACUGGGACUGAGACACGGCCCAGACUCCUACGGGAGGCAGCAGUGGGGAAUUUUGGACAAUGGGCGAAAGCCUGAUCCAGCAAUGCCGCGUGCAGGAAGAAGGCCUUCGGGUUGUAAACUGCUUUUGUACGGAACGAAGCGGUCUGCUCUAAUACAGUGGGCUAAUGACGGUACCGUAAGAAUAAGCACCGGCUAACUACGUGCCAGCAGCCGCGGUAAUACGUAGGGUGCGAGCGUUAAUCGGAAUUACUGGGCGUAAAGCGUGCGCAGGCGGUUAUAUAAGACAGUUGUGAAAUCCCCGGGCUCAACCUGGGAAUUGCAUCUGUGACUGUAUAGCUAGAGUACGGUAGAGGGGGAUGGAAUUCCGCGUGUAGCAGUGAAAUGCGUAGAUAUGCGGAGGAACACCGAUGGCGAAGGCAAUCCCCUGGACCUGUACUGACGCUCAUGCACGA
rnacentral:rRNA from 1 species